UACGGAGGGUGCAAGCGUUGUUCGGAAUUACUGGGCGUAAAGGGCGUGUAGGUGGUUGACUAAGUCAGGUGUGAAAGCCCUCAGCUCAACUGAGGAAGCGCAUCUGAAACUGGUUAACUUGAGUACGGGAGAGGAGAGUGGAAUUCCUGGUGUAGAGGUGAAAUUCGUAGAUAUCAGGAGGAACAUCGGUGGCGAAGGCGACUCUCGGGACCGAUACUGACACUGAGACGCGAAAGCCAGGGGAGCAAACGGG
rnacentral:rRNA from 1 species